rnacentral:rRNA from 1 species
AACGGCGAAGUGAAGCGGCAAAAGCUCAAAUUUGAAAUCUGGUUCCUUCGGGGCCCGAGUUGUAAUUUGUAGAGGAUGCUUCGGGCGUGGCCGCGGUCCAAGUCCCCUGGAACGGGGCGUCGCAGAGGGUGAGAAUCCCGUCUUCGGCCGGCCGGCUUCGCCCGUGUGAAGCUCCUUCGACGAGUCGAGUUGUUUGGGAAUGCAGCUCUAAAUGGGUGGUAAAUUUCAUCUAAAGCUAAAUACUGGUCGGAGACCGAUAGCGCACAAGUAGAGUGAUCGAAAGAUGAAAAGCACUUUGAAAAGAGAGUUAAACAGCAUGUGAAAUUGUUGAAAGGGAAGCGCUUGCGACCAGAGUCGGCCGCGGGGGUUCAGCGGGCACUCGUUGCCCGUGCACUCCCCCGGGGGCCGGGCCAGCGUCGGUUUCGACGGCCGGUCAAAGGCCCCCGGAAUGUGUCGCCUCUCGGGGCGUCUUAUAGCCGGGGGUGCAAUGCGGCCAGUCGGGACCGAGGAACGCGCUUCGGCACGGACGCUGGCUUAAUGGUCGUAAGCGACCCGUCUUGAAACACGGACCAAGGAGUCUAACAUCCACGCGAGUGUUCGGGUGUCAAACCCGUCCGCGCAGUGAAAGCGAACGGAGGUGGGAACCCUCAAGGGUGCACCAUCGACCGAUCCUGAAGUCUUCGGAUGGAUUUGAGUAAGAGCGUGGCUGUUGGGACCCGAAAGAUGGUGAACUAUGCCUGAAUAGGGUGAAGCAAGAGGAAACUCUGGUGGAGGCUCGCAGCGGUUCUGACGUGCAAAUCGAUCGUCAAAUUU